GCUGAUAUUGCGGGGUUGAAAUUCGGUCCGUGUAGGGUAUCAUAAUGGUCAAGAGAUUUGCCUCCUGCGUUGACCACGGAUGUACUGGCAACGGUGUUGAGGCAGAUGAGGAAGGUCGGGCUAAGUCCCGGCCUUUUGCUUU
rnacentral:sRNA from 1 species